UUUAUCUUUUUAAAGUAGUGUUAAAAGAGUUUUAAGAUACAGUAAUGCGAAAAGAAUUCAAUAAUUUUAAUAAAUGUUAGAAUUUUCCAGAUUAGAUAAGGUUUAUGGUGCCCAGAUCACGAUAUUUGCUGUAUAAGUAGAGUCGCUGCAAAGAUGAACCAUCAGAAUUUUAAAAAAUUGGAAUUAGUUCUUCAUAAUUCUUGCAACGAUGAACACCCAAAUAUAUCUAUUUUUGUUGGUUGCCGUUUUUGCAAUUGUCUCGGUCUUUGAAGUCAUGGCCAAACCGUCAAUUGAUGCUGAUGAGCCUGAUACGCUAUCACGCUCUAAGAGGCAAUUAGAUUUAUUGGGCAAUCUGUCAGAAUUCUUACAAACUGUAUUGGAAAAUGUUUUAAAAGGGCUUUAAAAAGUCACUUAAAGGAAAUUAUGGGAUAAAAAGUUUAAUAAGUGAUUAUUAAUAUAUUCAGCUGAAUUCUUAUCCCAUGGCAAUAUUAUGUAUUAAAAUGUGAAAAAAUAUUUUUGGUGACGGGAUGUAAAAUGUAUAAUAUGUGAUUAUAUUACCUUAUUAUCACAUAUCAAAAUAUAUUUUGUGUGAAUAAAUAUCUAUAUCAUAAACAAGUA